AUACGUAGGGGGCAAGCGUUGUCCGGAUUUAUUGGGCGUAAAGGGCGCGCAGGCGGCCUUUUAAGUCAGUUGUGAAAGGUCUCGGCUCAACCGAGGAGUUGCAGCUGAAACUGGAAGGCUUGAGUGCAGGAGAGGAGAGCGGAAUUCUCGGUGUAGCGGUGGAAUGCGUAGAGAUCGGGAGGAACACCAGUGGCGAAGGCGGCUCUCUGGUCUGUAACUGACGCUGAGGCGCGAAAGCGUGGGGAGCAAACAGGAUUAGAUACCCUGGUAGUCCACGCCGUAAACGAUGAGUGCUAGGUGUUGGGGGCUUUUAUGCCCUCAGUGCCGAAGGAAACCCAAUAAGCACUCCGCCUGGGGAGUACGGCCGCAAGGCUGAA
rnacentral:rRNA from 1 species